UCAAGAUGGCCGUUGGCCGUUUCGAUUUUUCUAGAGCACCGUUUCGCAGCGCACCUUUAUUGAUCGAGUAAAUUUGAUUUUAAACGCGUCGCACGUUCGAAGCCGUAACGGACGUUUCUCGGCGAGAACUUCGUAUAUCCCCGUUUCGGCCACGGUUUCAAAUAAUUUCGGUGGACACGAGCAGAUCGAUAAUAAGUUUCGAAUUCUGAACAACGACCACAGACGCGUUCGCGAGCGAACUAUAUCGCGUCGAUAAUACGAAUUUCAUGGAAGAACCCGCGAGAUUCAAUCCAGAAACGAACAUCUCUUCCCGCCAACGAGUCAACGAUCACGAACGAAUUUGUUUACAUCGAUUCGUCGUUUAAUUUCCCUCGAAGACGGAUCGGUCGGGGAGUUUGCGAAAAGAAAUGUUUAAUUUGAGCCGUCGGACUUUGAAAAAUCCCAAUGAGACAAUCUACGAGACAAUCGGUUGUCCAGUUUAGAUUUUUACCGUGCUAUCGUAGUUAUUUAAAAAUCCCGAUCCAUCUAUCGUAAAGUGCAAUUCUCCAGCUUUAAUCGGUGCUUUAAAACAAUAGCGAAUGUAUUGGAAUAUUAUUUUUUUCUCGAUCGUAUGCAAAUUCCAGCAAGAAUCAUAUGGUCUCUUAAAGCGAGUACAGCACCACCACUUGUAGCGGUAAAAUGCCCAAACUGCAAGCCAAAGGUUACUCAAAAGAUAAAGUACAUCGAUGAUUGUAAUCUAUGCUCUUCCGAUAGAUGGCGUUUCGCAGAAUUUUACACUAGCAACAUCUAGCGGAGGAAUCUAGAAACCGUUUGGCUAGUAGUUUCAGCAUUUUGCCGCUACGUACGAUGGCGCUGUACGCGUACUCGAACGACGCAAAUCGUUCUUGCCAGAAUUUGCAGAUAAUAUAACGUCGAAAUCGGUAAGAAUCAUUCGUACCAGUAUAAAUAAGAAUUAACAUAAAAAUGAUCGUAACGUGUAAAUUGCAAACAACGGAGAUCUAGGUUCA